UUUAAACCCAACACUAAGUUUUCGUGUCCAUUUUUAUCGCCCAUCUUAUUUAAAAUUAUUUUAUAAUUAGUAUUUUUUAUUAGAUGAUAAAAUAUGAAUAGUAUUUAUAUGUGGCUUAUAUUUUUAAAUUUUUUUAAAAAAAAUUUAAAUAAAACGUCGAUUAAAAUUGGACUAAGAAACUUAUUACUAUGCUUAAA
rnacentral:pre_miRNA from 1 species